CGCACGCCUACCUGGACUAUUGACAACUAGACAACUGCUUUACAAAUAGAAUACAUCCUUAAAAAUAUAUACAGCAUAUAAGGUCCAUAUAAGGCCACAUCCGCCUGACAGUUUACCUCCGUUUUGGCUACGGGCACCGGACCCGAUCCGCCUCGCCAGCGCGCCUUCAUUCACCGGGUCUGCGACGGACCCUGUACGGAUGCGUACACCGAACGCGCCCUAACGGUUUAUUUCAUCAGUUUUCUCGCUGAUGGAGUGCUGCCGAGUGUGAGACAAAACGGUGGCGUCUGAAGGCUCACUGUCAUUCACAAGUGGCUCCAGUCUGGUUUGGGGGUCUACCCUUGCUCAUCCUGUCCCGCCACCCAAGUAAAAAGAGAAAUAACUACAGGCCUCUGUAACUGCUGUUUCCAGGUCAUUGUCACAAGUCACAAGUGGGUCUGGUUUGGGGGUCUAGCCUAGCUCAUCCUGUCCUGCCACCCACACAAAAAGAGAAAUAACUACAGGCCUCUGCAACUGCUGUCUCUAGGAGCGGUACGCAAGUGUCCAUUGACAGCCCAGGCAACGGAUACCGACAUUCACCAAUGUGCUGGCGCAUGACCGAGAAGGGGGGACGUCGCAAACGCCAGUGUGAAGGAGCA